rnacentral:lncRNA from 1 species
GUCAAGCAGAGUCAUUUCAUAACGUCAUCUGGCUAGUCUGGCAACGGAAUUUCAAUAAUGAAUUUCGGCUUCGAUCCGUCCCUGCGAGAGCAGCGUAAUAUAGUGCACAAUAUAUGCGCCGAGUUUGUAUGUCUUUAGUAGAAUUCAAAACGUAGCAUACUAUCCUAAAAGCGACGUGCAGUUAUCGCGCAGUUUCCACCUCCGACGCUGGGGCCGCCCACGGUUUGAGCUGCAUGAUUUCUUGACUCUUUGUUUCGAGCAACAAAGAGAUUUUCGAGGCGGGAGCGGCAAUUAAUGACAACAAUCGAUUUUUUCAAGUUAUUUGCGACGCAGGGCGGAAAUAGCUUAACCGCAUUGACACGCCCUUCUUAUUGCCUGUUUCGUGGACGAUUCGUUUUCCUCGUUGUUUAUUUGCAUUUCCGAGUGGAAAUGACCCGGCCCUUGUGGGGUUACAGCGCGUAUCUCCCGUUAUCUUGGCGCGUUUAUUAUUUUUAUUUUGAAAAAUGCGCGUAUGAGUGAUGCGAUUUUUGUGAGUUCUUCCCGAUACCUAAUGUUGUUGACUGCUUUCGUGACUAGGCACGCCAAAGAAAAGCAGCAGAUGAGCGGAAGGAGCGAACGACCCCUCCUCGGAGUGCGUGAACUCGCGACCUGACCUCCAGCCAGAACUUCCCUCUGAAGAAACCGUUGAACUAAAUUUUGAUAUAGCCCUGUGGCCACUGCGCCGUCUGCCAUCGGACUCUGUGUCGCGUUCCGAGUGUUGUGCUCGUUCUGGUGAUUUUAGUCCUCUUUAAUUUAGCUGCGCACUCCGUCGUGUUUACGAUAUUGUCACUUAGCAUUUGGGCGACGUUCGUGUUGUCUCCAAGUCGUGUGUGUGUAUGUGCGUGUGCGUUUGCUUGCUGCGUAUUUCACAUCUGUCGUCACGCAGCUCGUUACGAAACCUACCGUGCUUCAAAGCGCCCUUGUGCAUGUUCCUGAAUCGGAUUAGAGAGCGGUGAAACGUGUUGACGGCAGGUUACUUACCUUUUUCUCUUGUUUUACUACAUUUUGUCUCCGCCUGGUUGUGAGCUCCUAGCUUUAGCAGCUGCUCCUAUUUCGCGCGUUUUCGUAACCGGGGCUCAUUUCAAGUUGUGAGACUUCAACUGCAGUCCAAACCAAUCGUAACCCCAGUUAUUAUUAUAAUUUUUUUUCUUAAGGUUUGGUGAUUUGGCAUAGAAAGAAUAAAGCAAACUGCAAUCAAGGGACUACAAACAUAUCUUUCAUUGAAAUAUGUGCUCGUUGUCCCACUUGGUUUUAUUUUUUCUGUUUCAAAUCAACUUUACCGACGUGCUCUACAGUUACUUUGAAUUAAGUACAGGUGGUUGACGUAAUUGAUUAUUGAUGUAAAAGAAAAUGAGUACUUUCUUUGUGUGAAACUGUAUGGCUAUUGCAGCUUCUCAAGCUCAGUGGUUUAGUUCCAAGGACACUGGCAUAAAUUUCAGUAACGAGUUGAUAGAAGUGUUGUGUUGGAUACAUCUACAGUUUUGGGCCUAGGAUGUUUCGUUGCUAGAAUGUAUCCAGUUAUGCUGCCUGUGUGCUCAACACUGAUAUGGUCAUUAUUCUAGGCAGAUAAUUAUAGGUUGUCCCAAGCAAAACCUUCCGUAUAAAGUUCAACUUUAUGUUCAAACUUUCACUGGAUGUGCAUUGAGCAGGUCAGUUUUGCCACAUAAAAUUGCAGGCACAGUUCUCUUCCCGUAAAACAUGAGCAAAAAACUUGCCAAAGUCAAGGCUGGGCACGUUUGUAGCCAACCUUGAAAUUUUGCAGGUAGAACUGACCUGCGCAAUGUACAUUCAGUGAGUUUUAACUUUCUAUAUGGAGGUGCCAAUCUUUCAGGCUCAAUUUAUGGCCUAUAAAUACACCAUUGAACCCACUUUUAACAUUUUAAUGAUGAAGUUGUGGUUUUAAGUUUGUCUUGAAUUGAAAUGUUCCACCGCACUCGUGCAGCAACAAAAGUUGUUGGCUGCCUAGCAACAUUGUUAGAAAUACUUUUGCCUUAUAGUGAUACACUUGAUUGCCUAAGCUCUGUGUAUAGUGGGAGGAUAAUGCCUAAAUUCAAUCAAGGAGCCAGAGUAACUGCUGAUGAGUGGAGCAGUCAGCUGCUUCAAAGAGAAGUAGCGACCUGUAACAUCAGCCUUUGUUUUCUUUUUUGUUUCACCUGAAAUGCUUUCUUGAUAUCAUACUUGUAGUUCUUAGAGAAAGUGUGUAUUUUGGCCCUGUGGGCAUCUACACAGUGCAGACUGCAAAUUAGUUCAUUUGAUGAUCUGUGACAUUGUUUUAGUCUAUCUUGUUGCUAAUUUUAGUUGUUUCCUAACCUUUGAAAUGUGUAGGAUACCUAAAUGAACAUGAAAAAUAGCAAUAUCAAAUUAAUUUCCUCGGUUGAUUUGCCGAUUCCAAUGUGAGAUAAUGGGUCAAUGAGUAAGGAGUUUCAUAUUAGCUACAUAUAAAUUAGCUCUUAUAGUACAUAACUGCUUUCCUUGUAGUGUUCUGCCGCUAUAUAAAGAUGUUAUGAAUGCCUGGGAUCGCUCUAAAAUUGGCUGCAAAAAUCGGCAGCUGCUUGUAACAGUCUCAAAUUUUCGUGCAAGGCAUAUUUUAUUGGUAUGAUUUAACCUUGUGAAAUUUGAAGGCAUACAUCUGUUCCUGCAAGAAAUGGAAACAGCACAUUGCAAGGCAAAAUGCACUCCGAAAAAAAAAAAAAGAUUUAUUAGGUGAAUAUAUGAGAUCGCUAUGUGCAGAUGCCGAUCUUUUCCGGACGAUUUUUGGAGCCUCGUUAUUAAUGUAUUGACACUCUAAAAGUUUUAGUAUUUACUGACACUUGCAUGUCUUGCAAAGAAAACAAGAAAAACAAAAACUCGCUCACUGUGUGUUGCCUCCCCACAGUGCGUCCCCCAAUGCGCCUGCUGCGCAUGCGGGAGAAGUCUACUUUCUCCGACCGGCAGCGCACCACGCUGGAACAGGCGUACCGCUGCAAGCCGUACGUGGACUACCAGCGGCGCAUGGAGCUCGCACUGGACAUCGGCCUCUCCGAGGAGCAAUGCUGCUGUCCAGGACACGCACGUUCGAGCGGUAUUCCGCGUACCAGCGGUCUCAGCUGGAGCAGGCAUACCAGCGUAGCCGCUUUAUCUCGUACGAACAGAAGGACCAGCUUGCGCGUUCUCUGGGCCUUUCCAAGAACCAGAUCCAGUUCUGGUUUCAGAACCGGCGCAGCAAGGAGAAAAAACUGCUCCAGAAACACAAGUUCCCCUCACACUUUGGGCGCUGAUGCAGGCCGGCCAAUGCAAAGUGGGCGCCGUGGCUCGUCGUUGGACAUGUUCUUCCGUGGCUCUCUUUCUUAACGCUCGCAAAAGACGCCACUUUGUAAGAAACUUCCAGCUGCUUCGUUUCGACUUGUCAAAUAGCUGACUCUCCCCUAAAGUUAAAUUUCGUUAUCGCCAAAGUUCAAGUUUCGGUUUAGCAAAUCUCCGAGCAUCCCCAGGUUUCACUUCCAUAGUUUACUGCAGAAGUUUGCUAAAUGCCGCAAAGAAUGUGUAUGUCUCCCAUGGGUUGAGUCCAGAGUACAAUGGAUGUCAGUGAGUGCCACCUGGUUGAAGUGAAUUAUCAUAUGCAUGCCUAUUGCGGGAGUUUCUGGGAGCUGCCUGGAGAUGGCACAUCAGAAUGAUUUGCAUCUUUGUGGCUCAAAUGGUUACCUAGAUGUUCCGGUGACAAUUGGGAUGACUACUCUCACAGGUAUAGUGCUAAUUAGAUUAGGAGUAUAUUUUGUGUGGCCCAUUUGUUUGCAUCACUCUUAGUUCUCUCUCUCGGACCAUGGAAGAGAGCAAUGCUACUUGGAGAACUCUGAUGCGAUUUGGCGAGAACUCGUCCAGACUAAUAUUAGCAGACUAACCGAGCUGUCAGUCACCCCUUGUGUGGCAACUGAAAACGUUGCAACAGGCAGACUCUGAUUCUCCAAGUUGGAUGCUGUUUCAGCGUGCAUAUUGUUCUUUGGUGCCGGUGAACAACCGGCCAUAGUGUAACGGUGCCACAAUACUUUUGUUCCUAUUGCUAAGCAAAAGCAGUGCUUGAACAAACAUUUAACCAUGGCUAAUAGAGCAAUUUUAGUGCCCGUUUUAGGUUUGUAUUUAUCUUGCAUUUUGUGUAGCCCAUGUAUAAUUGUCUGCAAAGACCCAUGUACUCGUUGCAAUGUUUCGUACUAGCAGUCCCGUGUGUCGUCUUUGAGUGGCUGCUGCUGCUUUCUGUUUUUUACACUUGCUUUCUCUGUUUUUAUGCCGAUAAAUAAACCAAAGAAACUGUACCCCUUUUGGUUUCACGGUUUCGUUCCUGCCAAAGUAAAGUGGCGCUUGGCGAGCUUGCACUAGAGGGUGCCGCUGCGUCGCAGGCAUGCUUGGAAGAGAAGAUGCUUGGCGUCCCGUGCCCAAUACGGCUUCAUAAAUGGGAGUUUCUGUUUAGCCAAGUUUGUUUCCACGUUCGUAAAUUCCCUCCGGGCCAAACCAAGCGAUUUUCUUGGAGCGCGGUUUAUUCGCAAGAUUUCGACCACAUGUGUUUCAGCCGGUUCCAGUGUCUGCACUGUUGCUUUCCACGUUGGCGACAUUCGGAUACGGAAUAAUCUUUUAUGGUCUCCUCUGAGUGAGUUGUUAGAUGGGAUACCGAGAAAAAUGGGUAGGAAUGUGCUGCUUUCUACACUGUUUGCAGAAGCUUCAAAAGGACCGGGAUUUCAAAACUUGUAGCCUGAAUGGGAGGCAUGCAACCACAGUAGUCUCUGUCAAUCGCAACUGAAAACAAUUUCAAUUUAAGGUGGUUCCCAUAAGGCCAGACAAAAGCAGUUUCCUAUAUGCCUCGGUUCGAGAUUCUAAUAGCUGGUCAAACUUUAACUUUAUGGUAGUGUCAGGCUGCUCUAGAGUUCCAUGAUAGCAAGAGACUUUGUUGCUCACAGUUUUCCUUGUCUUUGAGGGUCACUGCCGUCCAAGUAUAACACCUUGGAGCUUAGAAAGGAGCAAGAUCAAGCUGAUAUUGGAUUAUAUUCCUAUUUGAAACUUAGAACGCUAGUCAACGAGAAGAACAGGUAAAUGAAGUCGGCUGAGAAGGAGUGCAGGCUUUGACCACCAUUAUUGAAGGCUUUUCAUUAUCUCAAAGGCUGCUUUGCUUGCCACUGCAGUAUCUGCCUUGCUGCCUUUGAACCAAGUCGCAUUUCAAAUGCAUGCCAAAAACGACCAUUGAGGGGCCCCUGUGUCAAACAUAGUCGUGCUAACUGGUAGGAGGUCUUCGAAGCUUAAUGCCCCUCUUGUAGGAAGAAACUAAAAAAAAGGAGAGGAGACAAAUAUUUUUUCGAAUGUGUUUCUUUCGGUUCUCACAUGGGACUGAUUUGCCCAUUCUAGAAAGGGUAACUGAAGCAACCAGUAUUGACCGGUAUCUUGCUUCUGGAUGUUGUUAGGAUCUGCUUGCCCCGCAGGUUGCGAGGCUUGCACGAAAAGGAAUAAAAAUUUCAAAUUGGUUCUCUUGUGGUCAAAAGAGACCCAGAAUGGUGCAGUUUAUUAUUCGCCCUAACCACAUUCGUGGCAUCUCUCUCUGCGUCAGCCAGGCUCGGCAGCCAGCAGAUUUUGUCCAAAACCGCCGUUGAGGGUGGGGCGUGGCCAUUGCAUGCAGCGAAGGGGAAUAUUGCGUCGCAAACCCAUUUGUUUUGCACGUACGCUCGUUUGGGCACGCCGCGGAGUGUCCCAUUUCUCAAGGAGCGGUGUCGGGGUCGCCGCGUGUCUCCCCCGCAGGCCGCUACUUCAGCACCUUCCAGAAGGAGCAGCUGACGAAGGCCUUUGUGUGCAACGCAUACCCGGACACGGCGCAGCAGCGCACCCUCGCUUUCCGCCUGGGCCUCACCACGGAGCAGGUCAAGGUGUGGUUCGCCAACAAGCGCACCCGGGACCGCAAGAGGGCCGUCCUCUUCCCAGAACUGCGCCUCUUCUGAACAAUCCGAAGCAUUUUCCACCACGAUGAGCUGACGUCCCGAUGUGCGCUCCGCACGCCGCUGCAACCGGUUCAUCCGCCAUGCAGAGCCUGCUCCCUUCCACAGCCAGCAGACCAGUACCGGUUCCCAAACCGGCGAACCGGAAGCAAAGACGGCCCCCAGAAAUGUCUUUGUCAACCGAGCUUCAUUUGUCAAUGUUUCAAGCAACCUCGUGUAGCUACAAACCAGCCUUUACCUACACAAAGAGGGAACCACUGCUGCCGCCAACUGCAGUCGUAUGCCCGUGACUGUCAUUUUGUUUGACUCUGACCGCCCAUGUCUCCUUACCGUUCCUCAAUUUCCUUGGAGGAUGGAUUCCCUCGAGUUUAGCUCGAGCACCUGAAUUUUUCUGAAAAACCACAAGGGUCUUCAUCAAACUGUGCAAUUAGUAGAUGCUUAGCCGCGACAGUGCUCGACCCCUACUUCAAAUAGUUUCUACUUCCACAGUCGGCGAUACCGGACUGGGGUUCCUCGAGUUCCACUAACGGCAAAAUUGACUCGGAGCUGGUAGUGUUAGUGUCAUAGAAAUGGGCCUGCAAAGUCGGAUAACCUGUCCAAAGAGAACCUCUUACAUGUGCCCGGCCCUCGGUAACCUUCCUGGCAUGUGGCUUAGGCAUGUGGGCUAAGCUGUAUAAGUGGGGCAUCUCCAAUUUUUUUCCCAUCGCAUCCGAAAGUCGCGAGAAGCAUUAUUUUGAACUGGCGAGAAAAGGAAAAAGAUGAAGGUGGUGCUUUUUUUUAUAAGUUGCGGUUCCAUAUGCAUACUCUUUUACCGCAAAUAUUAUUUCAUUCCGGACUUUUUUGAACCCGUCGCAAUGGCGACCUGGCUCACGCCAGGCACUACAUGAAUCGCCGUUUUUAAGGAUUUGUAUAGUGAACAUCCCAAUGCAUUUAUAGGCAAGCAUUUUGUACACAAAGCUCACCCACUAAAGUGAUACUUAGUAUUAGCGUGAUGUAGGUUCUAAGGUGUGAUAUAUGUCGCGGUGCUUGGUUGCUGCGCAUCCUAUUGACUGCUCUCACUGGAUUACAGAAGGCUCCGGCUCACACCGGUUACUGUUCGUGGUCGUUGUAAUAAAUGACGGUUUCUACCAACGCGUGUCAAUUGUACAACUUUGUUUCCUUCUGUUUUCUUUGUAAGGUGACCAACAGCAAGUCAUUUUGUAGUGCUGUCGUUAUGCAAAUAAAGUUGUUUC